CGCGUAGGUGGUCGUGUAAGCGGGGGAUGAAAGCCCAUGGCUCACCCAUGGAACUGUCCCCCGGACUGCACGGCUCGAGGAAGGAAGGGGAGAAUGGAAUUCCCGGUGUAGCGGUGAAAUGCGUAGAUAUCGGGAGGAACGCCGGUGGCGAAAGCGAUUCUCUGGUCCUUUCCUGACACUGAGGCGCGAAAGCUAGGGGAGCAAAACA
rnacentral:rRNA from 1 species